AGGGGGGGGGGGGACACACGGCUAAACACAGGAGAAGGGGGCGGGGAACAAGCUUUCCUGGCCGUGUUACAGAAGCACAACACACAAACAUACCAUCAACAGCACCAGCCAUGUUCACUAAGGUGCUGCAGUACUCUACUCAGAGCUAUGUUCAAUAAGGUGCUGUAGUACUCUACUCAGAGCCAUGUUCACUAAGGUGCUGUAGUACCCUACUCAGAGCCAUGUUCACUAAGGUGCUGUAGGACUCUCAAUGUUCACUAAGGUGCUGUAGUACCCUACUCAGAGCCAUGUUCACUAAGGUGAACUAUCAGUCUGUUUUGGUGUGAGAUAGUUGAGCAGAACUGCUGGGCUUAUAGACAAGAGAUGAAGGGAGAGAGAGAAUGUCAGGGGUGAGAGGGGGGAAGAGGACAAGUGGACAGGGAGAGGGAGAGAGAGAGGGAGGGAGGGAGAACAGUAAAGCCACAGAGAGACCCAGAGACCCACUACUCUGGUCUGUUCUCCAGAGGACCUCGCUGAAGACCAGCCGUCCAGGGUUCCAGCCAGACCUGGAGAGAUGAACUCACAGCAGGUCACCUGCAGGAAGUCCUCCCUCCUGUCAGAGUCUGGGCUGGUCCAGCAGGUCCCCACGCUCUCUGCUCUAGCACCUACUACGUUACUGACAUGGAGGGAUCUGCUCAAUCUCAGACAGGCAGGCAGCCAGACAGGCAGGCAGACAGGCAGCUAGACAGGCAGGCAGGCAGGUAGACAGGUGUGGAGG